rnacentral:rRNA from 1 species
CGGACGGGUGAGUAACACGUGGGUAACCUACCUAUAAGACUGGGAUAACUUCGGGAAACCGGAGCUAAUACCGGAUAAUAUUUCGAACCGCAUGGUUCGAUAGUGAAAGAUGGUUUUGCUAUCACUUAUAGAUGGACCCGCGCCGUAUUAGCUAGUUGGUAAGGUAACGGCUUACCAAGGCGACGAUACGUAGCCGACCUGAGAGGGUGAUCGGCCACACUGGAACUGAGACACGGUCCAGACUCCUACGGGAGGCAGCAGUAGGGAAUCUUCCGCAAUGGGCGAAAGCCUGACGGAGCAACGCCGCGUGAGUGAUGAAGGUACUUCGGAUCGUAAAUACUCCUGUUAUUAGGGAAGAACAUACGUGUAAGUAACUAUGCACGU